CAGCCGCCACGGGAAUACAGAGGGUGCGAGCGUUAAUCGGAUUUACUGGGCGUAAAGCGUGCGUAGGCGGCUUCUUAAGUCGGAUGUGAAAUCCCUGAGCUUAACUUAGGAAUUGCAUUCGAUACUGGGAAGCUAGAGUAUGUGAGAGGAUGGUAGAAUUCCAGGUGUAGCGGUGAAAUGCGUAGAGAUCUGGAGGAAUACCGAUGGCGAAGGCAGCCAUCUGGCCUAAUACUGACGCUGAGGUACGAAAGCAUGGGGAGCAAACAGGAUUAGAUACCCCCGUAGUCCCUGUCUCUUAUAC
rnacentral:rRNA from 1 species